GGGGACAUAGCUCAGGGGUAGAGCGCACGCUUUGCAUCCUUCAAUAUGCCUGCGUGAAGUCUGGGGUUCGAGACCCCAUGUCUCCA
rnacentral:tRNA from 1 species